rnacentral:snRNA from 1 species
UUUCUUGACCUUGUAAGAC